rnacentral:rRNA from 1 species
GAGUUUGAUCGUGGCUCAGAACGAACGCUGGCGGCGUGCCUAAUACAUGCAAGUCGAGCGAGAAAAGGGGGGCAACUCCCUGAGUAAAGCGGCGCACGGGUGAGUAACACGUAGGUAACCUACCCUCGAGCCCGGGAUAACCUACCGAAAGGUGGGCUAACACCGGAUAUGACCACGGGAGUUUCGGCUCCUGCGGUGAAAGAUGGCCUCUGCUUGCACGCUAUCACUCGAAGAGGGGCCUGCGCGCCAUUAGCUAGUUGGCGGGGUAACGGCCCACCAAGGCUCUGAUGGCUAGCUGGUCUGAGAGGAUGGCCAGCCACACUGGGACUGAAACACGGCCCAGACUCCUACGGGAGGCAGCAGUAGGGAGUAUUGCGCAAUGGGCGAAAGCCUGACGCAGCGACGCCGCGUGGGUGAUGAAGGCCUUC